GACGAACGCUGGCGGCGUGCUUAACACAUGCAAGUCGAACGGAAAGGCCCUGCUUUUGUGGGCUGCUCGAGUGGCGAACGGGUGAGUAACACGUGAGUAACCUGCCCUUGACUUUGGGAUAACUUCAGGAAACUGGGGCUAAUACCGGAUAGCAUCUCCUGCUGCAUGGUGGGGGUUGGAAAGUUUCGGCGGUUGGGGAUGGACUCGCGGCUGAUCAGCUUGUUGGUGGGGUAGUGGCUUACCAAGGCUUUGACGGAUAGGCGGCCUGAGAGGGUGACCGGCCACAUUGGGACUGAGAUACGGCCCAGAGUCCUACGGUAGGCAACAGGGGGGAGUAUUGCACAAUGGGCGGAAGCGUGAUGAAGAAACGCCGCGUGCGGGAUGACGGCCUUCGGGUUGUAAACCGCUUUAGCCUGUGACGAAGCGUGAGUGACGGUACUGGGUGAAGAAGCACCGGCUAACUACGUG
rnacentral:rRNA from 1 species